UACAGAGGUCUCAAGCGUUGUUCGGAUUCAUUGGGCGUAAAGGGUGCGUAGGUGGCGCUGUAAGUCGGGUGUGAAAUUUUGGAGCUUAACUCCGAAACUGCAUUCGAUACUGCGGUGCUUGAGGACUGGAGAGGAGACUGGAAUUCAUGGUGUAGCAGUGAAAUGCGUAGAGAUCAUGAGGAAGACCAGUGGCGAAGGCGGGUCUCUGGACAGUUCCUGACACUGAGGCACGAAGGCCAGGGGAGCAAACGGG
rnacentral:rRNA from 1 species